rnacentral:rRNA from 1 species
GAACAAAAUAAUAAUAAUAAAAAAAUCUUGAAAAAAAAAAAAAAAAAAAAUGGGGAAAGCCCUUCUCA